GUUAGGGGUAAGAUGCUUUAUAUCUAUUUGUUCAUCCUCUUCUUUUUCUUUUUCUUUUUUACUUCUAUUUGUUUCUUCGGUAAGGUCUGACUUAGGAGUUGGAAUCUCUAUUCUGACCAUCAUAAUUGAGCUUCUGCAGAGAUUACUAAGGAUGAGUUUCCUAUCAUGGAUCCUGGACUUUUGGUUUGGUAUCUAUAUUCUA
rnacentral:misc_RNA from 1 species